rnacentral:lncRNA from 1 species
AAAGGGUGGACAGCAGCCACCAUUUAAGAAAGAACUCCCCCUGAAUGUAGCUUUGUUCAACUACCCACAGAUGUGGGUGGGGAAAAAAAUUACAAUAACGUAGACGUGUCCAAAGUAAACCCAAAAGGUUGUAAAGUUUUAAAAGUCCACCGAAUUGUGCUCACAUUUUAAUUAGAAAGCAAAUGCUGCCACAUCUCUUCCGAGGAGUUAAACGGUUUGAAUUAUGGAUGAGACGGAUUCCUUCAAGCUGAGCCUCUCAUUUGGACACUCAUGGAACUGGGCAAUGACAUAGCCAGAAGAAGCUGCAGCUGAUCACCAGACACCCCUGUGCUUCUCCCACUUCUGAAACGUGCGUGGGCCCCUGAGAUAAAAAUGAGAAUGUCUGUCUCCUGUCACUUUCAUCUGGAGGCCCUGUGAUGACGCCUGCAUCUUGUUUCUUCCCCCAACAGUGGAGGCCACGUGCCAAGCUAUGUGUCAGCUGGUCAAAGUGCAUGCUGCUCCAACCCCGAUCAUCUGAGCUUGAUCCCAGCAUUCCAUGGUGGAAGGAGAGACCUGAAUCCAGAAACUCGCUCUCCUCCCUCCAUACUCAGGCCAUGGCACCUGCGUGCACCCCCUGACUCCAAAUCACAAACACACACAUACACACACACACACCAUACAUGUACAGAAUCAGUGCUAAUAAUAAAUUAAAUUAAAAUUAAAAUACGUA